GUGACAAUGGAGAGAUGAGGCGUUCAACAGUAAAUGUUUGAGUCCGUUUCAGAUGAAGAUGCCGAUUUUAAGGAACAACCAAAUGUUUUAAGAUUGGAAAUGGACGCUUCUGAGUGGUGUACUUGUGGAAAUUGUGCACGCAUGGCCCUCGAGAGAGAAAAUAUAUGUUGCAGGGAAAUACCACAGGUCACAAGAAAAAUGAGAAAAGUGCCUAAUACAAAAUCCUGCAUGACAGACCAUCCUGGCCUUGAACCUGUGUGACUCAAUAUAUACUGUAUUCUUUGUAAAAUGCAAUGAAUGAAUGUAGCAAUGAAUGUAUAUAGAGCUGACCAUGGGCGUUACAGUCAGAGGGAUGGAAAGACCCCGUCUUGACUGAAACGUGACACAUGCAGAGCAACAGCUUCUUCCAUGGAAGGUCUGUCAUGCUGAGAAGACCGGUCCGGAGGCACAGGAAUCUGCUGUAUGCCAUCCAGAUAUGGAAGAGGAUCACGGACAACUUCUUCAAAAACAGGAUUCAU